CCAUCCCUAACAUCGGCAUUCUUCCGCUCAUUUCGAGAUUGACGAUUUUUGUGCACAAAUUUCAACCAUGCCACCUCCACGCCAAUACACUGUGGAAAAGAAAACUUCGAGACGAGUCUCUGUUGAAGGUGAUCUGCAACUUAUGGAGCAACAUGUAAAGUACGAGAUGACGCUUGUUAUGAAGAAUUAUACAACAGCUUUACACAUCUUUAACAUUGUCAUCGUUAUGCUAAUAACUGCUAUUGUGACAAUUUCGACAUUAUACUUCUAUUACUAGCAGCAGCAGCAGCAGCAGUUAAUAAAAUCUCACUUACCGAGAUUUAACCUA